CCGCCCGUCACAUCAUGAAAGCCGGUUGUACCCGAAGUCGCCGCGUUAACUCCGCAAGGAGAGACAGGCGCCGAAGGUAUGGCUGGUGAUUGGGAUG
rnacentral:rRNA from 1 species